ACCCUGAUGCUGGCUCCCUGUGGACACUCUUGGAGUGAGGCCCAGUCAUUGGAGAGCUCCAGGGUACAGGCAACUAGUGACUCAAGAGCCAGUAUUUCCUGGAGUGGAAGGGGAAGAAGAGAUGUCUCAGCUUGGUUGUGGCUAUUUGCAAGACCCGAUCACAUAACAGGAAAUUCCUGCAAGGUCUCUGAACACAAGCUGAUAAUUCCGUGGGCCUUGUGGACUUGUUCUCCCUUACGUAAUCCUCUCGCAAGUUGCCCCAGAGUCUCUGGGUAGGCCUCUUGCUCCAUGGUGGGUGGACAGGGUGUGGGCAGACACCCACCAUCUUGACUACAGUGGACUGCCCUGCCUCAUUCCCUCACCUUCAUACUAGGGAUAGUGUGUGGUGGGGUUCUUGAGCUGACAAAGGGAGGUGAAAGGAGCAUCAAACAGAGGGACCCCUGUCCUAGGUACUAGUUCCAGCUCUGCCACAGCGCUCAGGGCAUGGGUUUUCCCAUCUGAGAAGUGAGCAUGGAAGCUCCAAGCCCUUCCUCCCCUGCUCUGGGAUGAGGGGCAGGGGCCAUAGCUCUUUGACUCCCAUGUCUUCCCUUCCUCUGGAAAUUGCUGGUGAGCUCCGUAGGGUUCUGAGAGGCCUGGUGCGCUGGGAUAUUUAGACUGGGCUAAUGAUUAAAAGCAGUUAGGACAGGGAUGCCAUCAAGCCCAGGCUUGUAAUCUACUCAUGUAAUAUAAGUAGAAAUCCAGAAACUCCAUCACCUUUAAUUUAAAUAGUAUUGAUUAGAAUUUAUAUUUUCUGUGGAUGUAGGCUGUUAUAAACAGUACAACUUAAAUCGAUUAAUUGUCUCAGCUUCCCAGAAGAAAUCUCUGAAAGGUUUUAGAUUUCAGAUGAAAUUGAAUUUUUCUCACGUUCAGAAUCCUUAAUUUUUAUGCUGUACCAGGAGAACAAUGAGACCUCUGCUGCUGCAGAGUCUGCAGAAGGCUGCAGGCCUCUGGCACUCAAACCAGCAGAAACUUAUACUCCUUGGCGUGCUUUCUCCCUGCAUCCCCCUCCCCCACUGAAAUGUUUCUAAAUACCUCUAAUAAUUAAGUUUGCAAGUGACUACCCUGCACUGCUGUGUGCCCUGCUGGCUCUGGGGAAUUGCUUUUUAACAUUUGCAGUCUCGUGCUAGGGCUGGGAAUGGUUUGAUGCUGACUGGCAGACAAGGAAUUGAUGUGGUUUUUACCUUCUUCCAGGAGAAAACUGGAGACUGCUGAGAUCUGGACAAUCUAGUGUUAGUUGUGUGUUGGUGAGGGUGGGAGGGGUGAGACUGAGAGAAGGAAGAGGUUGGGAGCGGAAGGUGAGUGAAGAGAGGGUAACCAGGCAGGGACAGACAGAGCUGGCCCUUCUGUGGAGUGAGCAGUCUCCUUGGCUUUGCCAUCACAGAUUUUGGGGGAUCUAUAGCCCAGCCACCUGCCUGCUGGCUGCAGAAGUGGUCACUUGUCACUUUCUGUGACUCUUCCCAGAACUGUCAGUGGGCUCCAACAACCAGGUUGUUUCUUUAAACGGAUGUAGACCGAACUGACUGUUUUCUGGAAAAUAAUGCAGAGCUUACAGGAUAUUAUGGUCACAUGGCUUUUUUAUUGACAGCUGUGCCAGCCUCGCCUCCUUCCAGAUGUUUGGAGUGAGUGAAA